rnacentral:lncRNA from 1 species
GUUUUUGGUUCUAUGGAACCCGAGACCUCACACUCUCAACCCACGGGGGAACACAAUGCUACUAGUAUCAUUUUGACUCGCCUUGAAGCUAUGUCCUGAGACAUGGCUAGGAUGACCGCGGGUAUUGAAAAACUAGACUCGGAUGUGGUAUCAAUGAAGGGUGAAGUGUCAAUAAUGGGUGGGAGAUUGGAGAGAGUGGAAAGCCAAAGAAUCCGACCUUCUACCCCUCGAC